CACGUAGGCACCAAGCGUUGUCCGGAUUUAUUGGGCGUAAAGAGCUCGUAGGCGGUUCGGUAAGUCGGAUGUGAAAACUUUGGGCUCAACCCAAAGCGUGCACUCGAUACUGCCGUGACUGGAGUUCGGUAGGGGAGCGGGGAAUUCCUAGUGUAGCGGUGAAAUGCGCAGAUAUUAGGAGGAACACCGGUGGCGAAGGCGCCGCUCUGGGCCGAUACUGACGCUGAGGAGCGAAAGCGUGGGGAGCAAACAGG
rnacentral:rRNA from 1 species